AGCUGGGGGGCAGAAUAGCCUAGAAAGGGGAAAGGAAAGAAAGCUGUGUCCUUGGCUGCGGCUCCUGAUAACCUGCUGAGUUAAAUCCCCAGAGUACUUGUGAUGAAAGACCUUUGCCUGCCUUUAAGAACCAGACAAGACCUUGGCUGAAUUGCAGGUAGUUUU